CCUACGGGGGGCAGCAGUGAGGAAUAUUGGUCAAUGGACGCAAGUCUGAACCAGCCAUGCCGCGUGCAGGAAGACGGCUCUAUGAGUUGUAAACUGCUUUUGUACGAGGGUAAACGCAGAUACGCGUAUCUGUCUGAAAGUAUCGUACGAAUAAGGAUCGGCUAACUCCGUGCCAGCAGUCGCGGUAAUACGGAGGAUUCAAGCGUUAUCCGGGUUUAUUGGGUUUAAAGGGUGCGUAGGCGGUCGGAUAAGUUAGAGGUGAAAUCCCGAGGCUCAACUUCGGAAUUGCGUCUGAUACUGUUCGUCUAGAGAGUAGUUGCGGUAGGCGGAAUGUAUGGUGUAGCGGUGAAAUGCUUAGAGAUCAUACAGAACACCGAUUGCGAAGGCAGCUUACCAAGCUACUUCUGACGUUGAGGCACGAAAGCGUGGGGAGCAAACAGGAUUAGAUACCCUAGUAGUC
rnacentral:rRNA from 1 species